GUGCUCACUUCAGCAUCACAUAUACUAAAAUUAGAAUGAUGUAAAAAAGAUUAGUAUGGUCCCUGAACAAAGAUGACACAUAAAUUUGUGAAGUGUUCCUUAGUUUU